AUUGCACGCUGGCGGCAGGCCUAACACAUGCAAGUCGAGCGAGCGGCGGUCGGGUGCGCAAUGUAUGGGGAUUGCCCGCUAGAGGGGGAUAACUACUGGAAACGGUAGCUAAUACCGCCUCCUAUCCGAUUACCCAUAUGGGAUUAGCUAGUAGGUGAGGUAAUGGCUCACCUAGGCGACGAUCCCUAGCUGGUCUGAGAGGAUGAUCAGCCACACUGGGACUGAGACACGGCCCAGACUCCGAGUGAGGCAGCAGGGGGGAAUAGUGCACGAGGGGCGCAAUCCUGACGCAGCCAAAGCGAGUGUAUAAAGAAGGCCCUAGGGUUGUGAAGUACGUUAAGUAGGGAGGCGUUACCGACAGAAGAGGCACCGACUAACUCCGUGACAGCAGCCGCGGUAAUAC
rnacentral:rRNA from 1 species